UAGAUUACCACAGGCCUUAAUACAACAACAGCUUCUGUCCUCCAAUUUUCCAUUGGAUCAGGUUCAUGUCGCUUUAGUUAUUCAGACCCCAGCAUCAUCGUGUUAUAUGCCAAGAAUAACUCUGCGGACUGGAUUCAGCUAGAGAAAAUUAGAGCCCCUUCCAAUGUCAGCACAAUCAUCCAUAUCCUCUACCUUCCUGAGGAUGCCAAAGGGGAGAAUGUCCAGUUUCAGUGGAAGCAGGAAAAUCUUCAUGUAGGUGAAGUGUAUGAAGCCUGCUGGGCCUUAGAUAACAUCCUGAUCAUCAAUUCAGCUCACAGACAAGUCAUUUUAGAAGAUAGUCUCGACCCAGUGGACACAGGCAACUGGCUUUUCUUCCCAGGAGCUACAGUUAAGCAUAGCUGUCAGUCAGAUGGGAACUCCAUUUAUUUCCAUGGAAAUGAAGGCAGUGAGUUCAAUUUUGCCACCACCCGGGAUGUAGAUCUUUCCACAGAAGAUAUUCAAGAGCAAUGGUCAGAAGAAUUUGAGAGCCAGCCUACAGGAUGGGAUGUCUUGGGAGCUGUCAUUGGUACGGAAUGUGGAACAAUAGAAUCAGGCUUAUCAAUGGUCUUCCUCAAAGAUGGAGAGAGGAAAUUAUGCACCCCAUAUAUGGACACUACUGGUUACGGGAACCUGAGGUUUUACUUUGUGAUGGAAAUGUGAGUAGAUGUCACAUGCCUUCUUUGUUGAGUGACUGGAAAAGCACAGGCAACAUCUGGAAGUGAAACAGGAAAUAAACACUGUCUACCUUUGAACUUACUAGCGAAGAUGUCAGUUCAUCAGGACAAACAGAUCUCCUGAGUCUCACUUCAGCAGUGGCGAUUUAUUUCUUUCGUAUUCCUCACUUCACCUUUUUGAUAGUCAUACAGCUCAGGGUUGCAUGGGAAACCUCAGAUUGUAUCCUGUUCUCAAGUAUAUUACCUAUGUGAUGCUAACUCAUUUUCCAUAAUGAUCUGUUUGAUAACAGAGAAAUUGUGCAUAUAAAAUAAAGUAAUGUAAUCUCACAUUUAAGGAUAACCUCGCCUUCACUCUGAACUGGUUUGUAUAUUUAAAGGCCCAGAGCUCAUUUUCUUUACAUAAUUAGAAUUCAAACUGGCUCUCAUUUUAUCAAAAGGGAU
rnacentral:lncRNA from 1 species